AUAUAUAAAAUAGUAAAAAUACUCAAAAAUAUCCGAAAAUAUCCAAAAAUAUUUAAAGAAAAAUAACUGAAUGGAUACUAAAUUUUAAAACCAAAAGAAUCGGAACCGAACCGAAACCGAGCCGAACUUUCAAAAUAACCAAAUGGAUACUAAACUUUAGAACCGAAAAAACUGAUAACUAAAUAAAUAUAUUCCGAAACCGAAUAUAUAAUCGAAUGCCCAAGACUAACAAUGACAAUAAUCAAAAAAUUCAUGGGGAAUUGGCAAAUAUAACCAACAAAAAUACUUUAAUUGGUAAAAUAACACUUCAAACAAUAGAAAGAGAUAUUAUGUAUAAUAUAUGUAAUAUUGACAAUAUAUCCUGUGUUUGUACAUCACGCUCUCCUUCUUCUUUCUUCUUCAAAAGACAUCCUAGUGAAUAAAUCUUUUUUCUCUUUUGUGCAGUGUGCUCCUUUCAUCUCUCUCUCCCCUUUCUUACGAAUCUUUACAUACAUCACCAUCAACUGAACAAAAGUCAAAAUUAUAUAUGGGUCAAUCUUAAAUGUCGAUAGGAUCACCCAAAUCUGAUUUACUCUAUUUUAUAACAACACCAUUAGCUAGAAACCCAACCAUUAGCGCAACAAUACUCUGACUAUAUUUAUUCUUUGUUAGCCAGAGAAUACUAGUAAAAUCCGGUGAAAUCCUUUCGCCAAUUAUGUUAAAUUAAUCUUUACUUUCCCAUCAAAGUUAAUAUGAGAAU
rnacentral:sRNA from 1 species